GAUGAAGAACGUAGCGAAAUGCGAUAAGUAAUGUGAAUUGCAGAAUUCAGUGAAUCAUCGAAUCUUUGAACGCACAUUGCGCCCUCCGGCAUUCCGGGGGGCAUGCCUGUCCGAGCGUCACGAAAACCCCAUCACACUCGUUGUGGUCAUGGCUGCAGUGAGUCGUCUCCAGCGGAGAGGGUCACGCCGCUGAAAGGAAUGGUGCGGAUGAGUUCCGAUGGCCGAACGUAGUACUUGACAACCGUCGGCCGAUGGGACCCUCCAUCUCGCCCUGACGACGUACCCCCGUCGUACCCCCGAUCAGGUGGACCUCGGAUCAGGUAGGGAUACCCGCUGAACUUAAGCAUAUCAAUAAGCGGAGA
rnacentral:misc_RNA from 1 species